GACUUUCCAAAUCCAGAGCAACGCCAGUGGCAACGUAGUGACUCAGGCGGGCACCAAGGAAACCGCACCAUUGGUCUCUGGAGCUGACCUCUCCCUGACAGAGAACCAUCUCUUUUUAUAUUACGCCGCUUUCAGUCCAACGUUCUCACACUGGAAGAAGAGAGUUUCUAAUCAGAUGCAACUGCCCAAAUUCUUGAUCUGCAGCUUCUCUGAAGUUUGGAAAAGAAACCUUCCUUUCUGGAGUUUGCAGAGUUCAGCAAUAUGAUAGGGAACAGGUGCUGAUGGGCCCAAGAGUGACAAGCGUACACAUCUACUUUUUAUCUGUAGAAGUUUUGCUUUGUUGAUCGGAGCCUUCUAUGAAAGUUUAAAUAUGUAACACAUUCAUGAAUUUCCAGUUUAGCCUUCUGAGCAGGACAUGAAUUUGUCACAUUUCAUUGCAUGGUAACAUGGACUUGGGAGUUAGAGAAAGUUCAAUAAAUAGCAGCUAUGUGUGUGCAAAAUAAAAGAAUGAUUUCAG
rnacentral:sRNA from 1 species